rnacentral:misc_RNA from 1 species
AAGUCGUAACAAGGUUUCCGUAGGUGAACCUGCGGAAGGAUCAUUACAGAGCGUGAGGCUCAGUCGUGGCGUCAGCUGCGUGCUGGGCCGACCCUCCCACCCGUGUCGAUUUCUAUCUUGUUGCUUUGGCGGGCCGGGCUACGUCGUCGCUGCCCGUACGGACAUGCGUCGGCCGCCCACCGGUUUCGACUGGAGCGCGUCCGCCAAAGACCAACCAAAACUCAUGUUGUCUUUGUCGUCUCAGCUUUAUUAUUGAAUUGAUAACA